CACCCUGUGGUGACUACUUGUCUGGCAGCUACGGCACUUUCCACAGCCCCAACUAUCCAAACUACUACCAUAACAAUGCUGACUGUGUAUGGUACAUCAGACCAAGCAGAGGAAUUGUGCAGCUGGAGUUCUAUAGUGUAAACAUUGAGUGUAGCUAUGACAACAUUUGGGUCUAUGAUGGCUCCAGCACCGGAUCCAGACUUUUGGGAACAUACUGCCAGGCUAGCAAUUCCAUCUUCUACUCUACUGGUCGCUAUCUAACCGUGCGUUUCACCAGUGAUGGCACUAUCACCCGCUUAGGGUUCAGUGCCGACUACAUAGUAGCGGAUGAAGGUUCCUGUCGAUUUAACUGUGGCUAUCAGGUUGGAAACUGUUCUUGCUCUUCAUCUUGCAGAGACAGAGGAAACUGUUGUUGGGACUAUGAGGCUUAUUGUCAGACGACAACCGUUGAACCUACAACAGCUCAGCCGUCUUGUCGCUACUACUGUGGCAGUGACCUAGGAAGCUGUUCCUGU